rnacentral:rRNA from 1 species
UGAGGGAAUAUUUGGGGGCAAUGGAGGCAACUCUGACCCAGCCAUGCCGCGUGAGUGAAGAAGGUUUUCGGAUUGUAAAGCUCUUUCGGACAGGAAGAUAAUGACGGUACUGUCUAAAGAAGCCCCGGCUAACUUCGUGCCAGCAGCCGCGGUAAUACGAAGGGGGCGAGCGUUGUUCGGAAUUACUGGGCGUAAAGGGUGUGUAGGCGGCUUUGUAAGAUAGCGGUGAAAUACCUGGGCUUAACCUAGGAACUGCCGUUAUUACUAUAGAGCUAGAGUGAUAGAGAGGAUAUUGGAAUACCCAGUGUAGAGGUGAAAUUCGUAGAUAUUGGGUAGAACACCGGUGGCGAAGGCGAGUAUCUGGCUAUUAACUGACGCUGAGGCACGAAAGCAUGGGGAUCAAACAGGAUUAGAUACCCU